CCAGCCCGGCUGCUUUAGCCCGGACCCUGCCCUUUCAGCUCAAUCGACACUGACAGAUCCCUGGCCUGGGAUUGCCAACUGGCACACAGGAAGAGAAUGAAAGAGUGAUGGAGAAAGAGCGAAACUCGGACCGGGUCAGAGUGGCAAAGUUGUCGUAAUCCAAGUGCCCAAAGUGUCUCGCUUUGAACUCUGUCCAGUAAUGAGUAUAAAUCUGUUUGGCUGCUGGAUGAAUGUCAUACGGCGCGAGUCCUGAGCUCAUCGGUGUCGUGGCCUUGAGCGAGAUACUUGACCUCCGAAUCCUCCAGAGGGACUGAACCUGUAAUAAGUUCAUGGCUCUUCUAUGAGUUCUCCUCCUCUCACAGAAUGACGGCACGGCGGUUUCACUCUGGUCCAGCUGAGUGAAUUAACAUGGUCCCAGGCUGCAGAUUAUAUAGCACGUUAACCACUGAAAGAGAUGUGCACCGUUCAGGAAAAAAUCAAUCAAGAUUAGCUUCUCCACCUCUCAAUGGAGCACUGUGAACCUCCUCAGGGGGUUAAGCUCCAAUCCCAGAGCUGAGAGAGAGAGACAGAUAUGGGACUGGCGCUCACAGGGCAGGUCUAAAUCUUUCAGCCGUCUCAGUCUUUAAAUGAAAAGACACUACAAAGAGAAUGCGUAACGUUGGAAAUAAGAAGAAUACACUCACCUGCAAAUCAAAGGAAUGAAUAAAUACAGUUUGGAGAGUGAGCGCCGCACCGCACCGCACCACGCCGCGCCGCGCCCCUCCCCUCCGCCGGCUUGGCCAGCUGAGUCUGUUGCAUGCUGGGAUAGGGGAAGUGCCUGCCGGGGCUCCACAAUGGCGGGCGGGUGGAUUUGGGACCCUCCUCUUGUGUUGGUGUUGGCGGGGAGGCCUUCACAGUCUGCUCAGCACAGCUGGAUCCCUCACAAACCUCCCUGACUCCGGCUUCAGUCUGCAGCCUCUCUGCUCACUUCAGAACGCAGAAACAUGUUUAUUUCUGACGGCCCCCGGUGCCGUCUCGGCUUUUGUAGGCCAGACGCGAGUAUCACACCAUCAGCAUGGAGGACGGAUGCUGCUGCUCAAUCAUCUUUCCUUCAAAUACAGAUUUGUUUCUUGUUUAUAUUCAGUAAUCCUCUAUGUCUGAAUAUUA